rnacentral:rRNA from 1 species
CGUAGGGUGCUAGCGUUGUUCGGAAUCAUUGGGCGUAAAGCGCGUGUAGGCGGCUAGUUAAGUCAGAUGUGAAAUCCCUGGGCUCAACCGAGGAAGUGCAUUUGAAACUAAUUAGCUAGAGAGUGGUAGAGGAAGGUGGAAUUCCGUGUGUAGAGGUGAAAUUCGUAGAUAUACGGAGGAAUACCGGUGGCGAAGGCGGCCUUCUGGACCAUUUCUGACGCUGAGACGCGAAAGCGUGGGGAGCAAACAGGAUUAGAUACCCUGGUAGUCCACGCCGUAAACGAUGGGUACUAGAUGUUGCGGGAAUUGACCCCUGCAGUGUCGACGCUAACGCAUUAAGUACCCCGCCUGGGAAGUACGGCCGCAAGGUUA